CCCGACUUCGAUGUGAAUGAACCGCUGUGCAUGUUUUCACCCCCGAAAUUCCUCACAGUUCCCACGGACGGUGCCCAGUGAUCAGCAACGUUGGUGGCUACGGCCUCACGAGAGAGGUGUCAAUCAAAGAGAGGUGCCAAUCAGAGGUGCGACUCGUCUUUCCCUCCCAGAAUCCCUUGAGCGCUCGGCGCCAGGAGUGGGAAACCCGCGUGGGCCCUGCAGAUGCCGCUCUCUUCCAUGUCAAUCACGACCGGGUCCCAGGUGCUGCGAGUUGGGCCAUCGGCGUCCAUUGAGGGUUUGGUGGCUGCUCCCAAAGGCGUCACUUCCGGGCCCUGACUCUGCCCCUGCCCUCGCAUGGCGCUAACCCUGUCUCGGUGAUGAUGAGGCCUGCGCUCUCCAGAGGACCUUCGGGUGGAAGAUGGAAGUAGUGCCCUCCUCCCCCCACCCUUCCCCCCAUCCCGGAGGCCCAGGGUGGGCGGCAGCUGCGGUGCAGAAAGCGAUGGUCACGUGACACACGGAACUGAGGGGCGCCUCGCCUGCACACCCAGGGCUGGGAACUAAAACAAGGAAGCGGAAGUAUAAUCAUGUGUGAACCUUGAAGCGGAAGUACAAUCGCGCGUGUUCCAGGAAGCGGAAGUGAAACCGUGUAGCGGGUCAGGUUUCUGGCAGAAGUUGUAGGAGCAGCUCCUGCGCCCCCCUGACCUGUGAGGAAAAGGAAAUCACGUGAGGGAUUCUGACAUAAGAACCUCAGGGCGGGGCAAAUGAUGAACAGACACGCCUACUGUGGAAUGAUUGACAAGCACGGCUGAAAUGAUUGACAAGCACAUGAGUGACAAACAUGGCUGAAUGAUUGACAAGCACAUGACUGAUCAACAAGCACGGCUGAAAUGAUUAACAGAGACGGCUACCACUGAAUGACGCCGGAUCUGCCAGAGGCGGGACUUGUUGUCCAUGUACCGCCCCUCGGGGUAGAGCUGCCACAUGAGAGGCAGCGGUGAGGUCAGGAGGUCACGGGGCUUCGAAGCGUCACCCAGAGGAACUGGAACUCGCCGGACCCGAGCCUUUAGGGUGGCUGUGUCCUGAGGGGAAUUAAAGUUAAAAUUUAAAUUAAAUUAAAUUAAAAGCAUUAAAAUAUCUUUAAAAAAUUAAAAAAUUAAAAUAUUAAAAUUAGACUGAACC
rnacentral:lncRNA from 1 species